AAACAGAGUGGGGACAGUGGAGGUGACAGCUGCUUUCUGACUCUUCACAGCAGGGGCCCUGAGGCUGGAGGGUGCCCCAAAACACUCGAGUGCUUCUAAAGGCUGAGACUGAGACUGCAGCGUUUGCAUGUGGCAGGGCUCUAGAGAGGAACCAGCCCCUGGCUGACCUGCUGUGGAUGGCUGUAGCUGCAGGAAUGGACAGGAGCUGGCUGCCUCACCAUCCCCUCCCCUCUGCCAGCUGAUGGCUGUCCAAGGCUCCUUGCAGGCAGCACACACCACCAGCUCAAUUCCAGCUCCAUCAGCUGAAUUCCUGUCAUGAGGCUGUGGUCAGCCUAUGGCAUUUGUGAGUCAAACAGCCCUCUCCCCCAGUCACUUCUCACAAGCUUCUUUUUGCUCCCUGAGCACAAAAGGCCACUGGAAGAUGAUCCAGGGAAAGGAGGUAACUACAAGCUCCCACCAGCUCUGCUGCCAAGGCUGGGAAGAAGCACUGCACACGGACAUCCCGCUGCUGUGUGCAAGCCCAGGUGUGUAAAGGAGGAUGGCAGCAGCUAGAGGGAAGGUGCUGAAGCAUUUCGGGGGUGAGAAGGCAGCAGCACACCUCUGCAGAGCAUCUGCCUCCACUGCACAGAGGCAGCAUCCACUGUCCUGUGUGGAACAAGUGCUCUGCCAUCCCUCUGUGCUGCUUCCCAAGAGAGGGAACAAAACAAAAGAGGGAACUUCAACAAAAGAAGGGCACAGAGCAGGCAAAAAGCUGGAAAAUGUUGGCUCAACAGCUGCCCUGGGGCUGCGUGGACCAAGGUGAGCUGAGGGAAGCUGCUGCCUGCCAAGCCUAACCCCAGGCUUUGGACAGUGGAGAAUCCAACCUUCAAGGCAACUGGCUUCCAUGGAUAAAGGCCAAGAGGUAGGGACAAAUGUGGGGUGGCCGGGAGAGCCUGAGUGACCUGAAGCCUCAGGCAUGCCAUGAAAACGCAGAGACACGGAAUUACUGUUUUA